ACUGCUAACUGCUAACUUUUAUUAUAUGACGUUAGCUUUGGCUUGGGUUUUUUGGGCUAUAAAACCAUGAAAAACAGACCUAAAAAGAUGAAAUUUUAAUAUGUUUAAACAUACAAACAUGGAUGUUCCCAAAA